AGCGAACGCUGGCGGCAGGCCUAACACAUGCAAGUCGAACGAACUCUUCGGAGUUAGUGGCGGACGGGUGAGUAACACGUGGGAACGUGCCUUUUGGUUCGGAAUAACUCAGGGAAACUUGUGCUAAUACCGAAUGUGCCCUUCGGGGGAAAGAUUUAUCGCCAUUAGAGCGGCCCGCGUCUGAUUAGCUAGUUGGAGAGGUAACGGCUCACCAAGGCGACGAUCAGUAGCUGGUCUGAGAGGAUGACCAGCCACACUGGGACUGAGACACGGCCCAGGCUCCUACGGGAGGCAGCAGUGGGGAAUCUUGCGCAAUGGGCGAAAGCCUGACGCAGCCAUGCCGCGUGAAUGAUGAAGGUCUUAGGAUUGUAAAAUUCUUUCACCGGGGACGAUAAUGACGGUACCCGGAGAAGAAGCCCCGGCUAACUUCGUG
rnacentral:rRNA from 1 species